CCGUAACUAUAACGGUCCUAAGGUAGCGAAAUUCCUUGUCGGGUAAGUUCCGACCUGCACGAAUGGCGUAAUGAUGGCCAGGCUGUCUCCACCCGAGACUCAGUGAAAUUGAACUCGCUGUGAAGAUGCAGUGUACCCGCGGCAAGACGGAAAGACCCCGUGAACCUUUACUAUAGCUUGACACUGAACAUUGAGCCUUGAUGUGUAGGAUAGGUGGGAGGCUUUGAAGUGUGGACGCCAGUCUGCAUGGAGCCGACCUUGAAAUACCACCCUUUAAUGUUUGAUGUUCUAACGUUGACCCGUAAUCCGGGUUGCGGACAGUGUCUGGUGGGUAGUUUGACUGGGGCGGUCUCCUCCUAAAGAGUAACGGAGGAGCACGAAGGUUGGCUAAUCCUGGUCGGACAUCAGGAGGUUAGUGCAAUGGCAUAAGCCAGCUUGACUGCGAGCGUGACGGCGCGAGCAGGUGCGAAAGCAGGUCAUAGUGAUCCGGUGGUUCUGAAUGGAAGGGCCAUCGCUCAACGGAUAAAAGGUACUCCGGGGAUAACAGGCUGAUACCGCCCAAGAGUUCAUAUCGACGGCGGUGUUUGGCACCUCGAUGUCGGCUCAUCACAUCCUGGGGCUGAAGUAGGUCCCAAGGGUAUGGCUGUUCGCCAUUUAAAGUGGUACGCGAGCUGGGUUUAGAACGUCGUGAGACAGUUCGGUCCCUAUCUGCCGUGGGCGCUGGAGAACUGAGGGGGGCUGCUCCUAGUACGAGAGGACCGGAGUGGACGCAUCACUGGUGUUCGGGUUGUCAUGCCAAUGGCACUGCCCGGUAGCUAAAUGCGGAAGAGAUAAGUGCUGAAAGCAUCUAAGCACGAAACUUGCCCCGAGAUGAGUUCUCCCUGACCCUUUAAGGGUCCUGAAGGAACGUUGAAGACGACGACGUUGAUAGGCCGGGUGUGUAAGCGCAGCGAUGCGUUGAGCUAACCGGUACUAAUGAACCGUGAGGCUUAACCUU
rnacentral:rRNA from 1 species